AGAGUUUGAUCAUGGCUCAGAGUGAACGCUGGCGGCGUGCCUAACACAUGCAAGUCGAACGAGAACGGAUUACAGCUUGCUGUAAUUGUCAGCUAAGUGGCGCACGGGUGAGUAAUAUAUAGUUAAUCUGCCCCAAAGAAGAGAAUAAUUGUUGGAAACGACUUGUAAUGCUCUAUAUGCCUUUAUCACAUAAGUGAGCAAGGGAAAUAUUUAUAGCUUUGGGAUGAGACUGUACGGUAUCAGCUAGUUGGUGAGGUAAUGGCUCACCAAGGCUAUGACAUCUAACUGGUUUGAGAGGAUGAUCAGUCACACUGGAACUGAGACGCGGUCCAGACUCCUACGGGAGGCAGCAGUGGGGAAUAUUGCACAAUGGAGGAAACUCUGAUGCAGCAACGCCGCGUGGAGGAUGACACAUUUCGGUGCGUAAACUCCUUUUAUAUGAGAAGAUAAUGACGGUAUCAUAUGAAUAAGCGCCGGCUAACUCCGUGCCAGCAGCCGCGGUAAUACGGGGGGUGCAAGCGUUACUCGGAAUCACUGGGCGUAAAGAGCAUGUAGGCUGUAGAUUAAGUUGGAAGUGAAAUCCUAUGGCUCAA
rnacentral:rRNA from 1 species